AUGAAGUUUGAUUCUAGCUUCAGAAUUAACUUAUUCAUUGAUCUAUAUGGUUAACUAUUAAAUUAAUUUGUUGUUCCAGUAGUAAGAAUUAAAUUUUAUUAUAAAUUUUGAGUUAUAAAUUGAAUAUUUAUUAAUUAAAAGUAGAUUAAUAUUUGUGCCAGCAUUCGCGGUUAAACAAUUUACUUGAGUUAAUUUUAUUAUUACUUAAAUUUAAUUUAUUUUAGGUUUGAAUGUAAGACUAUUUAGGUGGAAUUUAUAGUUUGUUGUAAAAUCCAUUAAUAUUUAUUUUAAGAGAUUUUUAUUAAUAAACUAGGAUUAGAUACCCUAUUAUUUUUAUUGUAAAAUUAUUUUAGAAUGGUAUCAGUUAAAAUCUUAAAGGCUCAAAGAAUUUGGCGGUAAAAUAUCUAGUUAGAGGAAUCUGUGUAUAUUAAUUGAUAUUCCACAAUAGUUUAUACCUUAAUUUUUAUUUGUAUACCGCUAUAUAAUAGAGUGUUACUUUUAAGUAUACUUUCUUUAAUUAAUUUAAAUUUAUAUUAGGUCAAGGUGCAGUUUUUUUAAGGCUUAUAUGGAUUACUUUUGUUAUAAGUUUUAGGAUUUUAGUUUUUAAAAAGUUAAUUUGAAUUAGGAUUUAAUAGUAAGUUUUUAAAUUAAUUAAUUUAGCUGAAUACACUUGCUAUGUUUUAUGUACAUAUCGCCCGUCACUCCUAGUUAAGUUAGGAUAAGUCGUAACAAAGUAAUUUUACCGGAAGGUGAGGUUAGGAGUAAAUG
rnacentral:ncRNA from 1 species